UCGCAAUGCCCGAAAGGGUGACGGAGCGACGCCGCGUGUGGGAAGAAGGCCUUCGGGUUGUAAACCACUGUCGGGAGUUAAGAAAUGCAAGAAUGUUAAUAGCGUUUUUGCUUGACUAAGGCUCCGGAGGAAGCCACGGCUAACUCUGUGCCAGCAGCCGCGGUAAUACAGAGGCGGCAAGCGUUGUUCGGAAUUAUUGGGCGUAAAGAGCACGUAGGCGGCUAUAUAAGUCGGUUGUGAAAGCCUUCCGCUCAACGGGAGAACAGCAUCCGAUACUGUAUGGCUUGAGUGUGGGAGGGGAGAGCGGAACUUCUGGUGGAGCGGUGAAAUGCGUAGAUAUCAGAAGGAACGCCGGCGGCGAAAGCGGCUCUCUGGCCCAUAACUGACGCUGAGUGUGCGAAAGCUAGGGGAGCAAACGGGAUUAGAUACCCCGGUAGUCCUAGCCGUAAACGAUGGGCACUAAGUAGAGGGGUUUUU
rnacentral:rRNA from 1 species